GACGAACGCUGGCGGCGUGCUUAACACAUGCAAGUCGAACGGUGAACUCCGCUUGCGGGGGGAUCAGUGGCGCACGGGUGAGUAACACGUGGGCAACCUGCCCUCAGCUCUGGGAUAACUCCAAGAAAUUGGGGCUAAUACCGGAUAUGACCGCUGCCCGCAUGGUCUGGUGGUGGAAAGAUUUAUCGGCUGGGGAUGGGCCCGCGGCCUAUCAGCUUGUUGGUGGGGUAGUGGCCUACCAAGGCGACGACGGGUAGCCGGCCUGAGAGGGUGACCGGCCACACUGGGACUGAGACACGGCCCAGACUCCUACGGGAGGCAGCAGUGGGGAAUAUUGCGCAAUGGGCGAAAGCCUGACGCAGCGACGCCGCGUGGGGGAUGACGGCCUUCGGGUUGUAAACCUCUUUCAGCAGGGACGAAGCGAAAGUGACGGUACCUGCAGAAGAAGCACCGGCCAACUACGUG
rnacentral:rRNA from 1 species